UUUUUUUUUUUUUUUUUAAAGACAAGGAGAGAAAACAGCAACAUUCUUCACCAAGAUACCACAAGAAUGAUCUCUAGGCUACAUAUUAAUAUUCUCUUCCAAGCCUCUUGAGCCAGGCAUCCACAAUUCAAAUCACUCUCAGCACCACUGUCUUCCAUGCUUAUACUAGUAUGACCCACUAAACUCCAUUUAAAGGAUUCAACUGCUUUUCUAACCCAAAGUCCCAAUGUGUUCCACACUUCUCAUCAUAUUUUGUAAACAUCCUCUCUUACCUCCUGAUUGGAUUAAUAAAAAAUCUGGAGGAGAGACUAGGUGGGACUUCCAGUAGAGAUAGGAACUCAGGAAAGAGUCAGGUAUGGGAGAAUUUGCUAUCAAGCCAGAUACAGAGGAAGAAACAGCCUGAGAGUGAAGGUGAGGUAACUAACAAGCCAUGUGGCAGAACUUAGAUUAGUAUAAAUGGGCUAAUUAAGUUAUAUGAGUGAGUCAGGAACAAGAGUAAGCUAGUCCCAAAGCUAUAUUAAUAAAUGUAAGUCUUUGUGUCUUUACUCAGAGCUGGGGCAGGCAUAUAGAGUAUAUACAGCUCUACACCAUGACCGCAGCAACUCUUAUAAAGGAAAACAUUUAAUCGGAGCUAGCUUACAGUUCAGAGGCUUAGUUCUGUUAUUGUCAUGGUGGAAAACAUGGCAGCAUGCAGGUAGACAUGGUGCUGGAGAGGUAGCUGAGAGUUCUACAUCUGGAUCAACAGACAGCAGGAAGAAAUGGAGACAGUGGGCCUGGCUUGAGCAUCUGAGACCUCAAAGCCUAUCCCCAAUGACACAUUUCCUUCAACAAAGCCACAUCUACUCCAAGAAGGCCACACCUUCUAAUAGUGCCACUCUCUAAAGCCUUAUGGGAACCAUCCAUGCAACCCCCCACACUUCUGUAUGCUCAGGAGUAUUGAGUGGGUGGGUGCUGUGCAGCGGGAAACUCAGACUGACAGAGUGAGAGCCAGAUUUAACAGCUUAUUAUUUCUUCUUUUACCUGUUUAACCAUCUUGCUGGUACCAUAAUUAUAUUUUAAUUUUUAGUUAGAUACCUGAUUGUUAGUUUCUUUGUCAUUAUUGUUUAAUUUUGACUUCAGUCUUACAGUGUGGCAACAUUUGUCUGUCUUCUGGGUAUGUUUUAGGUUUUGGAUGUUAAUGUUGGUUAUUUUCACUCGAUUCACUUUUUUUGACAUAUCAUAAGUCUUCUCCAUUUGAAAAGCUUUAUAAAAUGGCUUUUUAAUGUAAGUUUCACAUGGUCAAACCUGUUAUAUAAUUUGUCAUUUCUAUUUUAUUCUGUAAAAUUCUUUCUGAGCUCUCUAACCUCCAUUCUGCUCCUAGGACAAGUAUCUCUAGAUUUUUAUUGUCAGUUUUGUUUUGGGCACAUUACAAUGCUGUCAGCUUUCAAUAUCCAUUGACUCUGCACCUACAGAUAUAACCAAGUUAAAAAAAUUAAAUUGUGUCUAUCAAGGUCAAACUCCUUUCUUAUCAUUAUUCCCUAGACAAUGUAUCAUAGCAAUUAUUUUAUGAUGUUUGUAUUAAAUGAAGUUUAAUAUAUAAUCCACUGAUUAUGUAGGAGGUCUUGUGUAUUGAUUAUGUAGGAGGUCUUGUGUAUUGAUUAUGUAGGAGGUCUUGUGUAUUGAUUAUGUAGGAGGUCUUGUGUAUUGAUUAUGUAGGAGGUCUUGUGUAUUGCCUAUAUGCAUAUUGAGCAGGGUUUUACUUAAAGGAUUUGAAUGUCUUUGCAAAGGAAUCAUACAAAGUUUCCUACAAACACAGAAAUGAUUGUACCUCUAAUAUUUGUAUCAUUUGCUUAUGUUUCUUUACUGUAAAUAAAAUAGAAUGUCCUUUAUGAAACAUAAAAAUAUUAAAAGGCUAACAUACUACC
rnacentral:lncRNA from 1 species